AACGAACGCUGGCGGCAGGCUUAACACAUGCAAGUCGAGCGCCCCGCAAGGGGAGCGGCAGACGGGUGAGUAACGCGUGGGAACGUACCCUUUGCUACGGAAUAGCUCCGGGAAACUGGAAUUAAUACCGUAUGUGCCCUACGGGGGAAAGAUUUAUCGUGCAAAGGAUCGGCCCGCGUUGGAUUAGCUAGUUGGUGGGGUAAUGGCCUACCAAGGCGACGAUCCAUAGCUGGUCUGAGAGGAUGAUCAGCCACAUUGGGACUGAGACACGGCCAACACGCUGACGGGAGGAAGCAGUGGGGAAUAUUGGACAAUGGGCGCAAGACUGAUCCAGCCAUGCCGCGUGAGUGAUGAAGGCCUUAGGGUUGUAAAGCUCUUUCACCGGAGAAGAUAAUGACGGUAUCCGGAGAAGAAGCCCCGGCUAACUUCGUGCCAGCCGCCGCCGUAACAC
rnacentral:rRNA from 1 species